UCCUGGCUGGCUCAGUUGGUAGAGCAUGAGACUUUUGAUCUCAGGGUUAUAAGUUCGAGCCUCAUGUUGGGUG